rnacentral:rRNA from 1 species
UUCUUGGAGAGUUUGAUCCUGGCUCAGGACGAACGCUGGCGGCGUGCCUAAUACAUGCAAGUCGAGCGGAUCUUUGGGAGCUUGCUCCCAUUGGUUAG